GCAACUCGACUACAUGAAGCUGGAAUCGCUAGUAAUCGCGGAUCAGAAUGCCGCGGUGAAUACGUUCCCGGGUCUUGUACACACCGCCCGUCACACCAUGGGAGUCAGUAACGCCCGAAGCCGGUGACCCAACCUAUUCUGGAGGGAGCCGUCGAAGGCGGGACGGAUGACUGGGGUGAAGUCGUAACAAGGUAGC
rnacentral:rRNA from 1 species